GUGAGUAACACGUGGGUGAUCUGCCCUGCACUUUGGGAUAAGCCUGGGAAACUGGGUCUAAUACCGGAUAGGACCACGCUCUUCAUGGGGUGUGGUGGAAAGCUUUUGCGGUGUGGGAUGGGCCCGCGGCCUAUCAGCUUGUUGGUGGGGUAAUGGCCUACCAAGGCGACGACGGGUAGCCGGCCUGAGAGGGUGACCGGCCACACUGGGACUGAGAUACGGCCCAGACUCCUACGGGAGGCAGCAGUGGGGAAUAUUGCACAAUGGGCGCAAGCCUGAUGCAGCGACGCCGCGUGAGGGAUGACGGCCUUCGGGUUGUAAACCUCUUUCAAUAGGGACGAAGCGCAAGUGACGGUACCUAUAGAAGAAGGACCGGCCAACUACGUGCCAGCAGCCGCGGUAAUACGUAGGGUCCGAGCGUUGUCCGGAAUUACUGGGCGUAAAGAGCUCGUAGGUGGUUUGUCACGUUGUUCGUGAAAACUCACAGCUUAACUGUGGGCGUGCGGGCGAUACGGGCAGACUAGAGUACUGCAGGGGAGACUGGAAUUCCUGGUGUAGCGGUGGAAUGCGCAGAUAUCAGGAGGAACACCGGUGGCGAAGGCGGGUCUCUGGGCAGUAACUGACGCUGAGGAGCGAAAGCGUGGGGAGCGAACAGGAUUAGAUAC
rnacentral:rRNA from 1 species